UGAGAGGACAGUACCUGAAGAAGAACAAUGCUGGGGAAAGGCAAGAGGAGUUGGGAAGCUCCAGCGUGGCAAAUCCCCAGGCUGUGGGCCUUGCUAAAGGCCAAAGAAGGUACUGGGGCUGCAGAGGUACAGUCCUGGGUUAAGUAGAGGCAGCUGCUCCAAACCCCCUUGCCAGUGAUGAGUGGUUUAUAAACUGCAGUCUGCCCCAGU